rnacentral:rRNA from 1 species
AUUGAACGCUGGCGGCAUGCUUUACACAUGCAAGUCGAACGGCAGCGCGGGCUUCGGCCUGGCGGCGAGUGGCGAACGGGUGAGUAAUACAUCGGAACGUGCCCAGUAGUGGGGGAUAGCUCGGCGAAAGCCGGAUUAAUACCGCAUACGACCUGAGGGUGAAAGCGGGGGAUCUUCGGACCUCGCGCUAUUGGAGCGGCCGAUGGCCGAUUAGCUAGUUGGUGGGGUAAAGGCCUACCAAGGCGACGAUCUGUAGCUGGUCUGAGAGGACGACCAGCCACACUGGGACUGAGACACGGCCCAGACUCCUACGGGAGGCAGCAGUGGGGAAUUUUGGACAAUGGGCGAAAGCCUGAUCCAGCAAUGCCGCGUGUGUGAUGAAGACCUUCGGGUUGUAAAGCACUUUUGGCGGGAACGAAAAGGACUGUGCCAAUACCACGGUUCGAUGACGGUACCAGCAGAAUAAGCACCGGCUAACUACGUG